ACUAAGCACCUGUCAUGAGUGUCCCCCGCCGUGAUGUACCUGGUACAUGGCUCCUUACAUUUUCGAAAGCUCAUCGCGUCCGCGAAGAGGAGUUAACACUGCUCGAAGAGAUCGCUGGAGAACGCGAGACGAUAGGGCACAGAUGAUUCGCUAUUCCUGAAGGAAUGAAAUCUGAGCGAAAUGGCGCGCUGCACCCAGGUAUAUCAUGCGCGCGCAUGCGCAGGGUGGUGCUAUGCGCCAUUUGGCCAAUAGGAUUGGCGGGAUGGUAUAGGGCUUCAGACAUUCGUCACACCAGAGGUGUUCCCAUACGUGGUGACGUCACCGCAGCAUCGAAGUGACCUAUGAUAGGGAACUGAAGCGUGGUCAAGCGCCUCUAGCGUCACUGACAUGAGAUGUUUAUCGCUUUGAAAUCACGUUCAAGAAGUCUCAUUCAGCACACAUCGCGAUACUUUCCAUCAGUUUGCAAGAGCCGCAGGUUGGGUGAGUUAUACAGUCUAUGGUGAGUAGUAGUAAAUAUGCUAUUUUAAUGCCUGUCCUAAAACGUAUUCUGUCUUCUUUAUUAAUCAGAUGAGCGCCUUAUGUUUACUCUCUGUAUUACAUCGGUCAUCCGAGGCUGUCUUUGAGUUUCAUUGUGUUUAACUAAAUGAGCACAGCUGCUAACUGGUUAAACUCUAUCGGUCACGUGACGUGCCACAGACCUGGGAUCCGUUUUAUAUUCAUUUCAGGUUCAAAGAUCUGAAAAGACGUAAAGUAAGCAGUCACCCCAGUGGUGUUUGUGGAGAGGUAUUCCUUCAGAAAUGGAGAAGACAGAAAGCUGCAGAGGCAGGAUUGUUUGCAGAUAAUGCUGUUCUUCUUUUUCAGAAGUUUUUGGGGAGCCAACCCUCACAAACCUUCCUAAAAACUAAAAGAGCUAUUACUGAGUCUCAGCGACUCUUGCCACGAUCAGCUCUUCCCAGAAGAGAAGGAAGACCAAGGAAAUGAUUUGCUCAGGAUGAGAAAUGAAGAUGGUCAUCUUGUGCUCAAGCAAACAGAAGUCCUCUGAUGAUCUCAUCAAACCAAACGAGGGGUUUUGACCAAGUGAUGCUCUUGAAAGGACUGAAAGAAGAGGAUGUGGUAAAUUGUCUUCAGAGAAAAAGCUUCUCAAAAGAUCUUAAAACAGCUUGAAGAAUGGUCUGGGAUCUUAAGACUGAGAGAUCUCACUGGCACCCAGUUAACCUCCAUAGAGAACAUUUAUCAGAAGCGCUGUCUGGGUAGGGCAAGAAACAUCAUCAAGGAUGCCUCUCACCCUAACCAUGGACCUUUCACCCUCCUUCCAUCCGGCAGGCGUUACAGGAGCCUACGCUCUCGAACUAGUAGACUCAGGAAGAGCUUCUUCCCCGAGGCUGUGACACUCCUGAACACCACACCACCAAUCUAUCCUGCACCUGCUCUUUUACUGCACUGGUCACAGUACUUUACAUACAUGUAUUGCACUACUCAUAUUUUGCACAGACUGCACAUAGUUAAAUCCAUUACACUAUAAACUGUCUAAAGCUGUUACUGUACAAGCACAGUAAACUAUUUCUACAAUAAAUAUAAUUGCACUACUAUUAUUUUGCAUAUAAUAAAUUGUUAAACUAUACUUUUGCACACUCAUUCAACUGUAUUUAUUACCACUGUUCUCAAGUUCCUGCUAUUCAUAAUGUAUAUAUAAUUCUUCUUUGCUCUGUUCAUAAUGUACAUACAAUCCCUACAUUAAAUUCAUAUUUAUAUUCUGUAUAUACUCUGAUCAAUAUUGUUUAUAGCAACUCCACUGUAAAUUCUGUAUAUCAUAGCUUUACUUAAUCUGCACUUUUAUGUAUAUAAAACACUAUAUUCUUGCACUUCUGGUUAGAUGCUAACUGCAUUUCAUUAGCUCUGUACUUGUACUCUGCAUAAUGACAAUAAAGUUGAAUCUAAUCUAAUCUAAUCUAAUCUUCUGGCUGAGAACAAGCUACACCACAUCAGUGCUGGAUAUCAACCAAAAGCUGUUUCCAGACACGAGAGAAGAUCACGAUGAAACCAGUUUUUGAUGUGUUGAUAAGGAAUCAUUAUUUUCUGAAACAGUAUCAAAUGUCUUAUAUGUAUCACAUGAUCUGUAUCACAGUUGACUGGAUGGGACUGUGACUUUUAAGGACAUUUCAUCACUCAUCUGUGUGAACUGAUUAAUAUAUGAGGUUAAUGUAUUUUUGAUUAUGAAUAAUUAUUUUUCUUGAAUCUUAUUUGUCUUGAUGCUACUUUAUCAUCUUUAUAGUCUAUGCUUCAAUAAAAUGAA